rnacentral:piRNA from 1 species
CUCAGGUAAAACUGAAUCCUCGGUC